UACGUAGGGUGCAAGCGUUGUCCGGAAUUAUUGGGCGUAAAGAGCUCGUAGGCGGUCUGUCGCGUCUGCUGUGAAAACCUGAGGCUCAACCUCGGGCUUGCAGUGGGUACGGGCAGACUAGAGUGCGGUAGGGGUGACUGGAAUUCCUGGUGUAGCGGUGGAAUGCGCAGAUAUCAGGAGGAACACCGAUGGCGAAGGCAGGUCACUGGGCCGCAACUGACGCUGAGGAGCGAAAGCAUGGGGAGCGAACAGG
rnacentral:rRNA from 1 species